UAGUAGCAAUCGACGGAAGAACAUUUUGGGGAAAUUACCUUUGGUCCCUGGUAGUUUUAAUAAUUUGUGAUGUUACUUUUCGAUCAUCAAGAAACCUUGUUAAUUCAUUCUUAAAUUCGACCUUCCUACUUCUUGGACUGAGGUAAUAACGGAAUUGUCUAGCAUUCCGGCGUAAUUCAUCUUAUUUUUUUUAUUAUCUUAUUUUUGAAAAUUUUCGACUCUUUAAUAUUUUAGUCCGUGCCAGUUAUGGUUGUACUCUCAGUUUUAUCUCAUGCUGUUAAAAAUAAUUGGGUUGAUUUUGAGUCACUGGUAUAUUCCUCAUGUCAUUUAGGAGGUUGAUAAGUUGUCCAGGAGGACUGUUUAGACAUUGACAUUGCAUAAUUAAUCCAGAUACCUUGUACUCUAGUUUUUUGAACUUGUCUUGAUGCUCAAAUUUUUGGGUGUCCUGUUAGCCUCAUUGACAUGAUUUCACGCUUGAUUAGUGAGGAAUUCAUAAUAGAUCGAUUUAACGGGCGGUCGCCAAGUGAAUCAAAACCCCAUGAGAGAGCACAACCUUUCAGACAAGUGCAACAGUUAUUUAUUUUCUUUAUAAAAGAGAGAUUUUGGCUUACGAAUCUGUCGAUCCUUUUUUGGUAUAUUGGUCACUUCAGUUU
rnacentral:lncRNA from 1 species